UGAGGAGCGAAAGCGUGGGAGCGAACAGGAUUAGAUACCCUGGUANNCCACNCCGUAAACGGUGGGUGCUAGCUGUGGGCCACAUUCCACGUGGUCCGUGACGAAGUUAACACAUUAAGCACCCCGCCUGGGGAGUACGGCCGCAAGGCUAAAACUCAAAGGAAUUGACGGGGGCCCGCACAAGCGGCGGAGCAUGCGGAUUAAUCCGAUGCAACGCGAAGAACCUUACCAAGGCUUGACAUAUAGAGGAAAAGUGCAGAAAUGUACUCCCCGCAAGGUCUCUAUACAGGUGGUGCAUGGUUGUCGUCAGCUCGUGUCGUGAGAUGUUGGGUUAAGUCCCGCAACGAGCGCAACCCUCGUCCUAUGUUGCCAGCACGUAAUGGUGGGAACUCAUGGGAUACUGCCGGGGUCAACUCGGAGGAAGGUGGGGAUGACGUCAAAUCAUCAUGCCCCUUAUGUCUUGGGCUUCACGCAUGCUACAAUGGCCGGUACAGAGGGCUGCAAUACCGUAAGGUGGAGCGAAUCCCAAAAAGCCGGUCUCAGUUCGGAUUGAGGUCUGCAACUCGACCUCAUGAAGUCGGAGUCGCUAGUAAUCGUAGAUCAGCAACGCUACGGUGAAUACGUUCCCGGGCCUUGUACACACCGCCCGUCAAGUCACGAAAGUCGGUAACACCCGAAGCCGGUGGCCUAACCGUAAGGAGGGAGCCGUCGAAGGUGGGAUUGGUGAUUGGGACUAAGUCGUAACAAGGUAGCCGUA
rnacentral:rRNA from 1 species